UAAAUCAGUUAUCGUUUAUUUGAUAGUACCUUACUACUUGGAUAACCGUGGUAAUUCUAGAGCUAAUACAUGCUAAAAACCUCGACUUCGGAAGGGGUGUAUUUAUUAGAUAAAAAACCAAUGCCCUUCGGGGCUCCUUGGUGAUUCAUAAUAACUUAACGAAUCGCAUGGCCUUGUGCCGGCGAUGGUUCAUUCAAAUUUCUGCCCUAUCAACUUUCGAUGGUAGGAUAGUGGCCUACCAUGGUUUCAACGGGUAACGGGGAAUUAGGGUUCUAUUCCGGAGAGGGAGCCUGAGAAACGGCUACCACAUCCAAGGAAGGCAGCAGGCGCGCAAAUUACCCAAUCCCGACACGGGGAGGUAGUGACAAUAAAUACUGAUACAGGGCUCUUUUGGGUCUUGUAAUUGGAAUGAGUACAAUUUAAAUCCCUUAACGAGGAACAAUUGGAGGGCAAGUCUGGUGCCAGCAGCCGCGGUAAUUCCAGCUCCAAUAGCGUAUAUUAAAGUUGUUGCAGUUAAAAAGCUCGUAGUUGAACCUUGGGCCUGGCUGGCCGGUCCGCCUCACCGCGUGCACUGGUCCGGCCGGGUCUUUCCUUCUGGGGAGCCGCAUGCCCUUCACUGGGUGUGUCGGGGAACCAGGACUUUUACUUUGAAAAAAUUAGAGUGUUCAAAGCAGGCCUAUGCUCGAAUACAUUAGCAUGGAAUAAUAGAAUAGGACGUGUGGUUCUAUUUUGUUGGUUUCUAGGACCGCCGUAAUGAUUAAUAGGGAUAGUCGGGGGCAUCAGUAUUCAAUUGUCAGAGGUGAAAUUCUUGGAUUUAUUGAAGACUAACUACUGCGAAAGCAUUUGCCAAGGAUGUUUUCAUUAAUCAGUGAACGAAAGUUAGGGGAUCGAAGACGAUCAGAUACCGUCGUAGUCUUAACCAUAAACUAUGCCGACUAGGGAUCGGGCGAUGUUAUCUUUUUGACUCGCUC
rnacentral:rRNA from 1 species